rnacentral:tRNA from 1 species
UCCUUAGUGGCUCAAAUGGUAAAGAAUCUGUCUGCAAUGCAGGAGACCCAGGUUCAAUCCCUGGAUGGGGAA